GUCUACAGGCAUAGCACUGUGAAUGUGCCUGAUCUUGUCUGAUCCCAGAAACUAAGCAAGUUUGGGCUUAAUACUUGGAUGGGAGACCGCCUGGGAAUACCACGUGCUAUAGGCU
rnacentral:rRNA from 1 species